CUCACUGUUCAGAUCCGGGUCAGGCCACCGGCACGGCUCCGCCCCUCACUGCUCCGGUGGUCUACUUCUCCAACCUGCUCCUCCACCGCCCCUCCACCGCCCCUCACUGCUCCAGUGGUCUACUUCUCCAACCUGCUCCUCCACCAGCGCGGCCACCUCUUCUGCCCCCCGUCCUCAGCUUCAAGGCCCCAAGAUCAGAUGAGCUCCGAUGUGCAUGCAUACAUGAGACCAGUAGCAUUUGCUGCUGUGCAUGCGUAUGCAUUGGGUUAGAGCAGCUCUUUCCAUGGAUUCGUAGAUUAAAUCUGUAGAUUUCAUGCAGUGGAUUUUGUGGUUGUGGGUUCUUCCUCUAUCUUGAUUUUGAAUCCUCACUCCGAUGCAUUUUCGUGGAUAAUUGUUUAUGUCAUGUGUCGAUGCUUCUUAAGCUGCAGAAAGUGUGAUGCAUUUUUUCUUGCUUGCUUUUAUUCACCGUGUGAAGAUUUGAUCUAUAUGAGGGACAGAAGAAGAGAUUUAACUUUUUUUGAUUCGGUGAAUAUAGGAGGGAAGAUGUGCUGAAAGAUAUGGUAUUGCGUGCCUUUCUUUUAUGGAUCAAAAAAGAUCUAUGUGCGGCUGUAUGUACGAGAGAUUUUGUUCUACACACGGUGAACUAGUAUGUACGAGAUAUAUCCG
rnacentral:lncRNA from 1 species